rnacentral:rRNA from 1 species
AUUGAACGCUGGCGGCAUGCCUUACACAUGCAAGUCGAACGGCAGCACGGGGCAACCUGGUGGCGAGUGGCGAACGGGUGAGUAAUGCAUCGGAACGUGCCAUUGAGUGGGGGAUAACGUAGCGAAAGUUGCGCUAAUACCGCAUAUUCUGUGAGCAGGAAAGCAGGGGGACCGUAAGGCCUUGCGCUCUUUGAGCGGCCGAUGUCAGAUUAGCUAGUUGGUGAGGUAACGGCUUACCAAGGCGACGAUCUGUAGCGGGUCUGAGAGGAUGAUCCGCCACACUGGAACUGAGACACGGUCCAGACUCCGUACGGGAGGCAGCAGGUGGGAAUUUUGGACAAGUGGGCGCAAGCCUGAUCCAGCCAUGCCGCGUGAGUGAA